rnacentral:pre_miRNA from 14 species
GUUGAGGGGAAUGUUGCCUGGCUCAAGGCUUUUCAUAGUUUGAUCUAUCUACUAUGAUUAAGGCUUCGGGCCAGGCUUCAUCCCCCUCAAA